CACUGGCAGUCUAUUCCAUUUUCUAGUCGAAAACAAACAAUCUUUUGUGUAGAACUGAAUUUUAACGAAAUUUUAGUAAAUUAGUGCGAAAUGAGUAUCGAAAACAAGACAAGUCGCACUCGUAUCUGCCAUUCUAUGGCCGAGGAUGUUGUGGCACACAUCCAAAGUGUGGGCGUGGCCUCCAAGAACGAAGUAAUCAUGGAGAUGUGCGAACUGAAGAAUCCCCGCUUUAACGACGUGGAACACCUGUGCGAAGCAGUGGACAUUUCCCUGGAGAGGGGCCUGGCGUGGGGAAUUCUGAAGCAGAGCCAUGGACAUUUCAAGAUUUCAGACGAGACCUUAAUCCCAAAAGAUACCAAAGCGCCUUUCAAUUCGCUUGUUUAGUUCUUUGGUGUGUUUAUGGUUCGUUUGGUUGGUGUUGCAUGGUGUUAUACCGGAUAAUCCCUAAAAAAUACUAGAGAUAACCAAAUUCAUUCGAGAAACUCCCCAUCUCCGGUGAAUUUUGAAUAUCUUCCAGUUGUUCUGCAUCGUCGGCACGCUGGUGCAGGCUCUGUAAAAGCUGAGAUCCACAAGAUCCUUGUGUAUCUUUCCACUAGCCUGGCAACGGACAUGGCAUCUCGGAACUGGUGCAUCGAGUGCGGUAGUCGAUGUCCCAUUUCUGGAGCCAGUUGUUGAGCUUCUCGCGUUCCUCCGGGUACAAGAAGUAGUUAGCCAUUUUGAAGCAGAUCGAAAUUUGCAAGGUGCCACGUGAACCAACUCGUGCUCUCCACUCGGAAAUGGACGUUGCUUUGACUCCUCCUGGAGGGGGGUCUGCUCCGUUCUAGGCAGAUUUUCGAUGUGUGACUUGUUUUUUAAUGCAUACUUUAUUGAAUCGUAGUUUUUAUACAAGUGCGAAGGCGAAUAAAGUGUACACGAUAAUUCCUUGGUAAAACUCUA